rnacentral:rRNA from 1 species
AUUGAACGCUGGCGGCAGGCCUAACACAUGCAAGUCGAGCGGAUGAAGGGAGCUUGCUCCUGGAUUCAGCGGCGGACGGGUGAGUAAUGCCUAGGAAUCUGCCUGGUAGUGGGGGAUAACGUCCGGAAACGGGCGCUAAUACCGCAUACGUCCUGAGAGAGAAAGUGGGGGAUCUUCGGACCUCACGCUAUCAGAUGAGCCUAGGUCGGAUUAGCUAGUUGGUGGGGUAAAGGCCUACCAAGGCGACGAUCCGUAACUGGUCUGAGAGGAUGAUCAGUCACACUGGAACUGAGACACGGUCCAGACUCCUACGGGAGGCAGCAGUGGGGAAUAUUGGACAAUGGGCGAAAGCCUGAUCCAGCCAUGCCGCGUAUGUGAAGAAGGUCUUCGGAUUGUAAAGCACUUUAAGUUGGGAGGAAGGGCAGUAAGUUAAUACCUUGCUGUUUUGACGUUACCAACAGAAUAAGCACCGGCUAACUUCGUG